AAGGGGGGAAAAUAGAGGUUUGGUGCAUCAAUGGCAGUGCAAAAACUCCAGUUCCCAAAGAUGAUGUUGGCAAAUUCUACAGCGGAGAUUGCUAUGUAGUUCUAUACACCUAUCACUCUCAUGAUAAGAAAGAAGAUUAUUACCUGUGCUGGUGGAUUGGAAAGGAUACUGUUGAGGUAAACUAUUGUCAGUUGAAUAAGAGAAUCUGAUUUGAAUGUUUUUCUUCCAUUUUGUUAAAUUAUGUGUUUUAAUCCAAC